rnacentral:rRNA from 1 species
UACGAAGGGGGCUAGCGUUGCUCGGAAUUACUGGGCGUAAAGCGCACGUAGGCGGUCUUUUAAGUCGGGGGUGAAAUCCUGGAGCUCAACUCCAGAACUGCCUUCGAUACUGGAAGACUCGAGUCCGGGAGAGGUGAGUGGAACUGCGAGUGUGGAGGUGAAAUUCGUAGAUAUUCGCAAGAACACCAGUGGCGAAGGCGGCUCACUGGCCCGGUACUGACGCUGAGGUGCGAAAGCGUGGGGAGCAAACAGG